rnacentral:lncRNA from 1 species
GUUUAAACUUACACGAAUCGCUCUCUUGAGGAGGAGGGAACCGCCGCGCGAUUGACACGCAUAUUCCUAUAGGCAUCCUCCCUCAGCCCCCACCCCCACGGCCGGAUUCGGGUGGCUCCUCUCCGAGCUGAAAUCCGAGAAGAAAUCUCCUUGGAUCUCUUGUUAAAAAAAAAAAAAAAAAAAAAAUCCAGAAACCGUCGGUAUUUUGCUUUCCUGCUUCCUUUUCGCAUGAUGAAGAAGUUUUUCGACUCCAGGCGAGAGCAGGGUGGCUCUGGCCUGGGCUCCGGCUCCAGCGGAGGAGGGGGCAGCACCUCGGGCCUGGGCAGCGGCUACAUCGGACGGGUCUUUGGCAUUGGGCGACAGCAGGUCACUGUGGACGAGGUGCUGGCGGAAGGUGGAUUUGCCAUCGUGUUUCUGGUGAGGACAAGCAAUGGAAUGAAAUGUGCCUUGAAACGCAUGUUUGUCAACAACGAGCAUGAUCUCCAGGUGUGCAAGAGAGAAAUCCAGAUAAUGAGGGACCUGUCGGGGCAUAAGAACAUCGUGGGUUACAUUGACUCCAGUAUCAACAGUGUGAGUAGCGGUGAUGUGUGGGAAGUUCUCAUCCUGAUGGACUUCUGCAGGGGAGGCCAAGUGGUCAACCUGAUGAACCAGCGCCUGCAAACAGGUUUUACAGAAAAUGAAGUACUCCAGAUAUUUUGUGACACCUGUGAAGCUGUCGCCCGCCUGCAUCAGUGCAAAACUCCUAUUAUCCACCGUGACUUGAAGGUUGAGAAUAUUCUCUUGCAUGACCGAGGCCACUAUGUCCUGUGUGACUUUGGAAGUGCUACCAACAAAUUCCAGAACCCACAAACGGAAGGAGUCAAUGCAGUAGAAGAUGAGAUUAAGAAGUACACAACGCUGUCCUAUCGCGCACCAGAGAUGGUCAACCUGUAUAGUGGCAAGGUCAUCACGACGAAGGCAGACAUUUGGGCUCUCGGAUGUUUGUUGUAUAAAUUAUGUUACUUCACUUUGCCAUUUGGGGAGAGUCAAGUGGCAAUUUGUGAUGGAAACUUCACAAUUCCUGAUAACUCUCGAUAUUCCCAAGACAUGCACUGCCUAAUUAGGUAUAUGUUGGAACCAGACCCUGACAAAAGGCCGGAUAUUUACCAGGUUUCCUACUUCUCAUUUAAACUACUCAAGAAAGAAUGCCCAAUUCCAAAUGUACAGAACUCUCCCAUUCCUACAAAGCUCCCUGAACCAGUGAAAGCCAGUGAGGCAGCUGCAAAGAAGACCCAGCCAAAGGCCAGACUGACAGAUCCCAUUCCCACUACAGAGACGUCAAUUGCACCCCGCCAGAGGCCUAAAGCUGGGCAGACUCAGCCCAACCCAGGAAUCCUCCCCAUCCAACCAGCCCUGACCCCUCGGAAGAGGGCCACAGUUCAGCCCCCACCUCAAGCCGCAGGAUCCAGCAAUCAGCCUGGUCUUUUAGCCAGUGUUCCUCAACCAAAAACGCAGCCCCCACCCAGUCAACCGCUACCACAGUCUCAGCCCAAGCAGCCUCAGGCUCCUCCCACCUCACAGCAGCCGCCUUCCACACCAGCCCAGGCUCUGCCCACCCAGGCCCAGGCCACACCCCAGCACCAGCAGCAACUCUUCCUCAAGCAGCAGCAGCAGCAGCAGCAGCAGCAGCAGCAGACAGCGCCAUCUGCACAGCAGCCAGUGGGCACGUUCUACCAGCAGCCGCAGCAGCAGGCCCAGGCUCCGCAGUUUCAGGCAGUACACCCAGCAGCCCAGCAACCAGUGAUCGCUCAGUUCCCUGUGGUAUCUCAAGGAAGCUCUCAACAGCAGCUGAUACAAAACUUCUACCAGCAGCAGCAGCAGCAACAGCAGCUGGCCACAGCCCUGCAUCAACAACAGCUGCUGACUCAGCAGGCUGCCUUGCAGCAGAAGACGACAGUGGCGGCUGUACCGCAGCCCCAAGCACAGCCGGCCACAGCAGCCUCGCCAGCCCCUGCCCAGGAGCCAGCGAUUCAGGCCCCAGUAAGACAACAGCCGAAGGUUCAGACAACCCCACCUCCUACCAUCCAGGGGCAGAAACUUGGAUCUCUCACUCCUCCAUCAUCCCCCAAGGCCCAGCGUGCUGGGCACAGGCGAAUUCUCAGCGAUGUGACCCACAGCGCAGUCUUUGGGGUCCCUGCCAGCAAAUCAACCCAGCUGCUCCAAGCAGCUGCAGCUGAGGCCAGUCUCAAUAAGUCCAAGUCUGCAACCACCACUCCUUCAGGCUCCCCUCGGGCCUCCCAGCAAAAUGUUUAUAAUCCUUCAGAAGGUUCUACGUGGAAUCCCUUUGAUGACGACAAUUUCUCCAAACUCACAGCUGAAGAACUGCUAAACAAGGACUUUGCCAAGCUGGGGGAAGCUGAAAAAAGGAAGGGUGGGCAGACUGUGGAUUCUAGCCUUCCUCUUCUAAGUGUAUCUGAUCCUUUCAUUCCUCUUCAAGUACCUGAUGCACCAGAAAAACUAAUUGAGGGACUCAAAUCUCCUGACACUUCUCUUCUGCUCCCUGACCUCUUGCCUAUGACAGAUCCUUUUGGUAGCACUUCUGAUGCUGUAAUUGAAAAAGCUGACGUUGCUGUUGAGAGUCUGAUACCAGGACUGGAGCCCCCGGUGCCUCAGCGCCUCCCAUCUCAGACGGAAUCUGUGACCUCGAACCGUACAGAUUCUCUCACCGGGGAAGAUUCCCUGAUUGAUUGCUCUCUGCUUUCUAACCCCACUACUGACCUUCUGGAAGAGUUUGCCCCCAUAGCCAUCUCUGCUCCGGCCCAUAAAGCUGCGGAAGAUAGUAAUCUCAUCUCAGGUUUUGAUGUCCCUGAGGGCUCGGACAAGGUGGCAGAAGAUGAGUUUGACCCUAUUCCUGUAUUGAUAACCAAAAACCCACAAGGUCUCCAGAGAGAGCCCAUUCCCUCUCCUGUAAUAACUGUAGAGCACUUUAAAGAAUCGACGGGUGUUAAAGGCCUUCCCCUGUACCCGGACCCCUCCCGGGUACCUGGCACGAAAACUCAGAACAGUCUAGAAUCUGACUACUUGGCCCGAGAUGGCCCUUCCAGCAACAGUUCGUUCCACAGCAGUGAAGAGGAGGGGACCGACCUCGAGGGGGACAUGCUGGACUGCAGUGGCUCUCGCCCUCUGCUCUUGGAGUCGGAGGAAGAGGAUGAGAGCUGCAAGCCUCCGCAGGGGAAGCUAGGAGGAGCCACUCCCUUCACUCAGCCGGAGGUCACUUCCGCGCAGGCCAAGGCCUCGCAAGGUGGGAGGAAGAACCAAUUCGGAGCCCUCACCCAGCCGACCGCUGAUGGACUCGGUGAGCCAGAUGUGUUUGCCACUGCUCCCUUCCGGAGUUCAAGGAUUCCCGCUGAUGACAUUUUUGCCAAAGCCCCCUUUGUCUCCAAGGGCAACGUGGCCCUUUCCCAGCCAGAGGAGACGGAUGUGUUCUUGAGAGCUCCCUUUACCAAGAAGAAAGGCAUGGAGGAGUCAGCAGUUGCCCAGAGCCCCGCCCAGGAGCAGCCCGGUCUCCUCAGUCAGACCGAUGACAUCCCUCUGCUCCCAGGCCUGGAUCGAGCCGUGUACCCGUCCGCCCGAGCUCAGUAUUCCACUGCUGGCUUUGCCCAGCCGUCUAACCUCCCCUCCCAUCCUGUACAAGCAGCAGACCAUCUUGACAGCAUCUCUUCCAGGGGCUCUUCCCUGGAAUCUGGGGCCCAUCCUAAUGACAGAAACAAAGGACCUCAGCCCCAGAAAGAAGCUGUCUCAGGCCCCGUGGCAGGCAAACCAUUCCGCCCCCAGUCUUUAUCCAAAUAUUCCCGUCACUAUAGCCCGGAAGAUGAGCCGAAUCCAGAAGCCCAGCCCAUUGCUGCCUACAAAAUUGUUUCGCAAACCAAUAAGCAGUCGAUAGCUGGCUCCGUUUCCAUCACAUCCCUUGCCUCCAGGACUACGGAGCUGCCAGCUGCUGAUCCUUUUGCUUUAGCACCCUUUCCUUCAAAGUCAGGCAAACAGAAACCUUAGGAGCCAUGCCUGAGCCUCAGGCCUCUGUCUCUACCCUACCCUCAAUACCCACCACAUCACUCCCAGCUGAGCCUUCCUGAGAAGAUUUAUAUCAAUUAUUCUCUUUCAGUUCCGUGAGUCAGAGCAGAACUUCUUGAGUCAACAAACUCAGUCGAGGUGAUACUUAGUUGAAACUCCCUUAAGUUAUGCUCAUUGCUUUUGUUUAUAUUGAUUUCUGGACUUUGGGUGAGUGUGUCCAUCUUCACCUCCACCCAGAACUCUGCUUUCUGUUGUGUGCCUAGAAACUGUUUUAAUCUCAAACUGCUUGUCAGUAAAUCCAGAAAUAACUUCCCGAAGGGGCCAUGGUAUUGCUACUUUGAUUCCUGUAGUUCCUGUUCUGAGUCAUGUCUAAUGAGGAAUUAAGAUGAGUUCCUCCCAGACUUGGUUUCAUACUCUUGAAAAGGGUACAUUUCAGGAAAGAAACACAAGAUAAAAAUUCUGCUCAUCAAAAGGAAGUGUGAUCCUGAAGAUACUAAUCAUUCCUCUAAAACCAGCAACUCUAGAAAGCUUCUCUGGAUCUGAGUCUGUAGGCCACCCUGGUCCUCAUGCGUGAGUGUCGGUGGGUGUGUAAUGUGUGUUAGAUCCUUACCUUUGUAGAGAUGCAAACAUGAGAUUUCUGUGCUGGUGUCUGAUAGUGUGGAGCCUUCUCCCACGUGCACACUUUAAAAAUUCAUGUGAGUGCACAGCUGUGUGUGUACACUUCUGUUUGCACAGGAAACGUUCUUCCUUUAGGUAAAUCCUGUCCCACCUCGCGUACCUCCACAAUCACUCAUUUGCUGGUAUUUGUUCUCCUAACCUAACUUACGUGAACCCUGUUUUUAUUGCAUUCUUUUCUCAUGGCAAAAUUUAAUUUAUUGGAAUGAGUAGGAAAAUCCUGCUGGAAUGCAAUUUUCUAAGUAGAUUGUUUUUUCCUUUAGAAUUUGCUAUUAACAUUUCAUUUACAAAGUCUUGAAAAAUUAAC